CUCAUUUUCCAAGCAUAUAUUGGUUCUGCACAUUGUAUCAUCAACCACUCAAAUCACAGUAGCAUCUGAUUAAUCCAGCCAUAAGGGAAAAAUAAAAGAAAGAAAGAAGGGGGCUUUUCUUUUAAUAUCAAUCAUUAGUGUGGACAGCAGUGUAAUGUUCAUAAAUAGAAAGAUCCCUUUGGUAUCGUUGCAUGUCAAAGAGAAAAAUGAGGAUAACUUCUGAAAGAAUUGAAUAUUGUGUUGAGCACUUAGGGCUUGUUCCUGAGCCCUCUGAAAGCCAGGGUCUUCCUUGAUAUCAUUUAAAGAAAACAAUACGGAGUAGCAACAUGAUUCAAGGAGCCCUAUCAAAUGGCUUUGUAUCAUUGUAGCAGACAUCCCAGACAGCUUCCAUGGCAUCCUUUGCAGCUGCUUCUGAGCAGUAUGGGUUGGCAAUCACUGAUUUCAU
rnacentral:misc_RNA from 1 species